UCAGAACCUAAGAGAGAAAGGAGUUAAAGUUUAAUGUUAAUAUAUAUCAUAGAUUGACCGAUAAAUUGUCAAUAUUUUCAGCAGAAAUAAUAAUAAUAAUAAUGAUAAAGGGACAGAUUACUAUAAUAUACAGAAGUCCGUUCAUGUUAAAGGAGGCAUUUAAAGGAGGAAUAAGGUUAGGGCAUGCAGGUGUUCACUCCACGCUAUAUUUAAUGGAGAAAAGCUAAUCAAAUUUAUGUCAGUGGUGUAACACUCUGGAAGAUGUUGAACACAUUAUCAUACAUUGUAGGAAACAUUAUUUAGAAAGAGAGAUAUUAAGAAAUAUAGUACAUAAGACAGGUCAGAAGCUUAAAAUCACUACUGAGCACAGGACAGGACUUCAGCGAAAUCAGAAGGGGGUUGUCUGGCUAUAUAAUGCAGGCAGGAUGCGACCUUUCACUUUUUAUUUUUUGUUUUUCUUUAGAACAAAUGGUUUCAGAUUAUAUAAUGGCAUGAAUCUACACAUUCCGACACAGUAGGUGGCGGUAUGCACCUAUAAAGUUGGUCCGCCAACAGUCACACAGAAGAAGAAAUCCAAGAUGGCGCCGUGCUACGAGGAAGUGGUGAGACCGUCCUUUCUGAGCAUGCAGACGGAGUGCAUGCAGGAAUGCUGAGAGUCCCUCCAUAACCAGCAGGAUGGAAAUGGUCAACAAAGCAAAGAAGGCGAAAACCACAAAGAGGACUACAGAUCCCACAUAGCCCUGCCACUUCAGGGCAAUACGCAUCACCAUCACCCACAACACCUCUGACAGCUCUGUGGAGACACAAGUAACUCACCGUCAGACAUUCGGCAGUGCUUGGAAAAAAUAUAUCAUACUAUUCUUUUUCCAGCCAGUUAUUCAAACACACGAGUGUGUUUGACUUUAGAGAGGAAGUCUGUCUGUGUGUGUGUCACACACAGAGGAUGAUGGUGUAAAUUAUGUUUGUGUGUGUAAGUAUGUGUGCCACUAACGUGCAUGUGCCAAACUGAGAGCCCAGAGUCGGAGGUAAGAGGCGGUGUUGGAGAUGCAGCCCAAGCAGUACUCUAUGGUGUGGAUGGCCUGAUGCAUGAACACGUCAGCGGCAUCAAACUCCUGCAGACAGCACAGUUUAAUCACAAGAAUUCCAAAAGUACAUCUCUGACUGGCUUUAAUCUGUUACUUGGGCUUCUCCCUUACCUCCUCUUCAGCAGCUCCGCCCUCCACCUCCCCUUGAUGCGUGUUGACGGAGCUGUCGUCAGCCACCAGCGGACGUCUGUCUUCCUCCUGAUGUUGCAGAGAACCAGAAAUCGGUCAGAAAAUACAUCCAACUCUAGAAAAAGGUUCAAAAAGUUUGGUGAAACACACUCACCACUUGACGUCGUCUUUUCUUGAAUGUGAUGUAUUCAUGCGUGGGUUUCCCCAGCAAGAGGACCGGGACAGAACACAGGGCCAGCACCACCAGGAUCUUCUGCACCACAAUCUACACAUGAAGAGUUACAGGACCAGCUGUUAAGCAACACAUGCUCACUUUAGCAAGCUAUUUUGAAGGAUAAUACUGGUGUUAUUGUUCCAAAGCAUGCCAUAGUUUGAGGGUUUAAGUGCUUUUUAUUUCUACCUUCCAGAUGUUCAUUUGUUUCAGUUCAUAUUAAUACGGUAGGAAAACGAGCUUGCAGAGAAACAAGCUCAAGACUGAUAUUCCUCACAGAGCAUUUCAUUGUCCUUUUGUCAUAUUACAUUAUUGUUAAAAAAAUUGAGCAACAAUUACAUUAUCGUUUUCUUGUUAAUGUAGUUAAAACAAUUAAUGCUUUAAGUAUUCUAUUGGUGUGUUCAUGCGUUUGUGGGAAACCUCGACAUCUGAAGUUUGAGAGUAAUCUGCCAAACAGCAUUGCAUUCACAAGCUAUAUUGUCAGAAAAUAAAACGCAGAGGACACAAGCAAACACUGGGGGAAAAAGUGAAAUAUGGUAACUUUAUGCAUAAACAGUUGCUGACUACCUGGAUUUAAAAAAAAUAAUCAGUUUUACCUCCAGUACCCAGGAACAAUUAAACAACCUUGACAUAAGAUAAUGCAGACUAAAUGUGUUCCAUGUCUCAAGCAGGUUUCAUGUGAUUUUCAUACUGUACUAACAAAAUAAUAAAACCAGUGGCUUCCACAAACGCA